CCAGGAAGCUGUAUCACGGGAUGACAGCGUCACAUUUGGAUUAUUGUUGCUUCCUGAAAGAAGAAGGCGAGUGGCUUUCUACAGUUUCUUAAAUCAUGAGCUACUUUCCAUUUACACACAAGUGAGACUGAGUCUGAAGUGAGCCGAGUAUUUCAUACUCUGAUUAAUGACAUAAUUUGUUUAACUUGAUUAUAAAUAAAAAGUCAGUUGAGUCUCACUUGUCAGAAUGCAAAAGGAACAUUCAUUCAACUGACUUAUGACAUCACAAGUGAAAAUUAUCUAAGAAUCAGUACAAAUGGAAAGCAACUAUAAUUAACUAAGCUUUAAGUAAGCCUAUAAAAAAAUUUGAUCAAUCUUAGUCGAUUAUUCUUCUCACAUUCAACUGUGACUGGUCAAUUUCUUACUGCUUAAAACUUAAAGCUUGAGUAACGGCUUAUUGUAGAAGCUCCAUUGCCGCGAAGGAAUCGCGAGUUGCCACAGUAAAAUUGUCGUGGAUCGCUGUGGAGAACGAUUGACAACUGUUUUCUCUAUUAACAAGGACAAUCGGCGAAAAUAGAAACAGGAUGGAAGAUAGCGGCGCGACGGAGUGUCACGUGACCAUAAUUAUUCGAGAUGGUAUCGAGUGUCACGUGACCACGAUUGACCGAGAUGGUAUCCGUGGGGCUCCGUGAGGGACACCGUCGAUUGGUGGCGCCACCGAUAGCAAGCAAGGUUGGCAUUCCACGAAGAGGAAAGCAAGCUUUCUGGUGUGGAAUCGAGCUGAAUCGAAUAAAGUUGAGUCAGUAAAUAAUUUGAUUGACACUGUGACGCUGCAUUUACUAACGUUAGCGAUCUGCUAGGCCGCAUUGGUGGCUCGCGGUCCGUUUUUCGAGGGUGAUUAAGUGUAAUUAGGAAUACAAAAGCAUCAUAUCCUGGAAUCUCAUUACAAGCAAAUUACUGGGAGAAUCUAUCCAGAUACUAGAAGCAGCUACUUGGAUUAUUGGAUACCUUGAAUUAUUACUAGUAUGCAGCAGUUUUUAUCAUUAUAGGUGAUGACCAAAAUGGCGUCCCAUGAGAGCAGCGAAGAUUCGAGAAAAUCGCCCAUUGCAGACAAAGUAAAUACGACAAUAGAGACGAUAACAACGAACGAGAUAAAAUCAACUGCUUCACCGCCAGUUGAUUCGCAUGAUGAGCUGAAUGAAACUGCUGAUACAAAAGAAAAGAGUUUAACAUUAGAUACAACUGCUGAUUGUACAAGCGUGGAGAAAAAUGAUUCUGAUGAUAUAAAAAGUGAAACUACCAAGGAUUUAAAAUCAUUGGUAAUUGAUAAGCAGGAUGAUACUAAGAUGGACAAGAAGCAAGAGACACAAAAUGUAGAUUCCCUUGUAGAACCUCAAACUACAGAUAAAGAAAAGGAAGUUAAGAGCGUAGAUAGCAAAAAUUCUGUAAAAAAAGGAGAAACUUUAAAACGAAAACGAAGAACUUUAAACAAAUCGACGAUGGUGGAAUCUUCUAAUUCUUCGACGGAGGAAAGUGGCACGAGAGGUAAGAGAAAGAAAUUUAUGAAGACUGGUUACGAUCGAUUUUGUUGGCGAUGUCACAAGGAGAAUAUUGAUGCCUACUGUACCGCCUGUCCUCGCUCGUAUCAUCGUAAAUGUAUAGGAGGUAUGCCAUCAUCUUUGGACAAGUGGAUAUGUGGGGAAUGUGCGACCAUUUUGAAAGCAGAAAACGCCGAGACGCGUUCCGUAGCCAUGGCACAAUUAUCAAUCGAUCAAUUGUGCAUGUUGCUCAAGCAUGUGGUUGAAAAGUUACGCGACUAUCCCGGCUCUGAGCCAUUUUGCAAACCGGUGGAUCUCGUAGAAGUACCGAACUACCUAGAAUAUGUUAUCAAGCCUAUGGACUUGAGCCUUUUGGAAUCGAAUGUGCGAGCUAAGCUUUACGGCAGUACCGAUGCGUUUAUGGCCGAUGCAAAAUGGAUUCAACAUAACUGUAUUGUGUUCAAUACGUGCGGUGGGGUUUACGCAGAUACAUCGAAACUGACAAACGCAGCGAAGCAGAUCAUCAAAGUAGCACGUCAAGAAAUCUCAGAAAUUGAUGCAUGUCCCGAUUGCUAUGCACAUAGUCGAAAUUUGCCAAGGCAUCAACCUUCGUGGUUCAUUGAGCCCUGCCGUCGACCUCAUCCACUUGUGUGGGCCAAAUUAAAGGGUUUUCCGUUUUGGCCGGCAAAAGCAAUGCCUCGUACGAAUUCUCAAGGAUACGUAGAUGUGCGUUUCUUUGGUGAACACGACCGCGCCUGGGUGUCGCCGAAGGACCUUUUCUUGUAUUCUGAAGAGCCACCAUCACCAUCUCCUCGUAAACGAAAAUCCGACAUGGAUGAGUGCGUAAAAGAAAUUACUCGACAUUGUAGAAAACUCGCGCUUAUGUUUGGCCAGUUCAAAUUUGCUCCACCCAAAAUUCAGUACGACCCGAACAAUCCGUUGCAGAUACGACUGAUGCUACCGAAUUACAAUCCCCUCGAACCUAAGAACCAUCUUCCCAAUCCCAAAGUUCCCACAUCUCAAAAGAAGAAAUCGCCACAAAAAAGACAAAGUUCUUUUAAAGGUAAAUCACAGAGUGACGAAUUGACUAACAUUAGUGAAAUAGAUAUUGAUCCGACAAGUGAUGCUUGUGAAAAGGAGAACGAAGCAACAUCGCCAAAAGUACAAAAAUUAAAUACUGAUGUUAAAGAUACUUCAAGCUCGCAAACUGAUGAUAGUAAUAAGUUGAAUAAAAAAGCAAAUCAAGAAACUGUAAAGUCAAACUCUCAAGAAGUUGCUCAAAACAAAACGAUAAAAAAUGGAAAAUCAAGUAAUGCGAAGACAUCAACUUCUCGAUUAAACGUUGUGCAUACAGAAACAGAUGCUGAAAAUAAUAGCAUAAAUCCUAAUGCUAGUAUCUCAAAUAAUAGCCUAAGUCCUAAUACUAAUAUCUCAAACAAUAACAUAAGUUUUAAUGUUAGUAUUUCAAAUAGUAGCACAAGUCCUAAUGUUAGUACCUUAAGUAAUAGCAUAAAUUCUAAUGCUAGUAUCUCAAAUGAGAAUAAUUCACAGAAACCGAAAAAUGAAAUGAAAUCGUUUAUAAAAAUUUUGCCUAAACCUGCAAUUUAUCCAGUUACUGAUACGGUAGUGCAGAAGAAAUCCCUUUUGAAAAAUAUUAUUAAUCCUAAAGUGACAUUCUCACAAAUGGACAAUCCGAAGGUAAUAACAAAGUAUACAAGAAACAACAAAGCAUUCAAGCUGAAAACAAGUAUUGUUGAUAAACUAAAUGCAGAGAAAGAAUUGAUGUCUCUAUCCGCGAGCAAAGAAGAUGAGAAAUUAUCGAAUUCAAAUAAAGGCGUUCCUAGAAUAUCACUGUUAAAUGAUCCAUUGAAUGUUAAAAACAUGCCUGAAAUCGAUAUAACUUUAUCGUCUGCAUCGAAUGCGAGUGUUACUCAUACUAUUACAUCGACGAAUCCAGUCGUUCCUAUAACGGAUAAAUCUGUGUUGCUCCUCGUGGUUCCCAAUGGAAAACCUACUGAGCCCGCAAAACAGGUCACGUCGACGAUCGAUCUUAAUCAAGGCAACAAUGAGGGACACCUUAAUUCAUCUCAAAAGGCUAAGAAGAGUUUCCCUAAGUCUAAUUCAAAAAAUAUUCAACAUUCGUCAAAUGCAGAUGGAAUUAUGGAGAUUUCUCCGAUUGGCCAAGAAACUCCAUCCACAUAUCAAGUGACACCUCCGGAGGCCGGACCGAUCAGCGCACGUUUGCAUCAUGAUGCGCAUGAACUUGCGAGAAAAAUGAGCUAUUUAAUGGAAGAGGCGUACAAGGAGGCAGCCCAGAACAGUAUUAAUGGCGAGAACGGUACCAACGAUAAUUAUCAGGCGACCAUACUUUUCCUGCGAAAGCAGAUCGAACAUAUGAAGUGGCAACAUCAGCAGCAGCUAACCGAAUUGAAACACAACGCCGAUCGUACUCAACGUGAGAUGCGCGCGAGUAUGGAAGCGGAGAAAUUGCGAUCGAUUGAGGAAGUUCGUAAAGAGAUCGAAGAUGAAAAGAACCGAUGUAUCGAGGAGACUAAGAAGAAACAAUGGUGUGCCAAAUGUGGACAGGAAGCAAUGUUUUAUUGUUGCUGGAACACUGCUUAUUGUAAUUAUCCGUGCCAAGAGUCACAUUGGCCCACACACAUGCGGACAUGUUCUCAGCAAUCUGCAUAUGCUACUAUUGUCAGUUCAAAUGCAAAUUUAAAUUCACAACAGACUAGUUACGUCAUUGCUGAGAAUUCUGCAACCAAAACGUAUCUUCUAUCAUCCAACAUGAAAUUGAAUGCAAUUCCGUCUGCUUCGUCCGUUAAUAGAGAUAAAACCAGUCAAGAUACGCAGUAGGCAAUUUAUUUGUAAUCGAUUCGAGUAUCAAUGCGAGUAAGAUGAAAAGAGUUUCAAUAAUACUGCAGAUCAAUAUUGACACAUUACGAGAAACAUAAAGUUCCUCUACAGAUAAAAUUGGGAAACACGAGAUAAGAGAUAAAAAUUAUUUUUUCAACAAAGCUUCAUGACGUAAACAGUAAACACAUCUCUGGCAUAGGAUAAUCGACAUUCUCGUGAAGAACAUGCAUAAGCAUUUAUUUCGGUAAAAUUUGACACAUGUAGACACAAAUAUAUUCAAUGCGUUUAUUAAUAAAUCAAGUAAAGAUAC